rnacentral:rRNA from 1 species
UACGUAGGGGGCUAGCGUUGUCCGGAUUUAUUGGGCGUAAAGAGCGUGUAGGCGGCCAGGUAGGUCUGCUGUGAAAACUCGAGGCUCAACCUCGAGACGUCGGCGGAAACCAUCUGGCUAGAGUCCGGAAGAGGAGAGUGGAAUUCCUGGUGUAGCGGUGAAAUGCGCAGAUAUCAGGAGGAACACCGGUGGCGAAGGCGGGUCUCUGGGCAGUGAUCCUGACG